rnacentral:rRNA from 1 species
UACGUAGGUGACAAGCGUUGUCCGGAUUUACUGGGCGUAAAGAGCGCGCAGGCGGUCGUUCAAGUCGAGUGUGAAAUCCCCCGGCUCAACUGGGGAGGGUCAUUCGAUACUGAUCGACUCGAAGGCAGGAGAGGGUAGUGGAAUUCCCGGUGUAGUGGUGAAAUGCGUAGAUAUCGGGAGGAACACCAGUGGCGAAGGCAGCCCCCUGGGGCAACACUGACGCUCAGGCACGAAAGCGUGGGGAGCAAACAGG